CCUGGGAGUAGUAGAAAGGCAAAUCUAAUAUCAUGUAGUAUAUUGAUAAUUUUUGUACAUGAAGAAAAAAAAACCAAUUGUUAAACAAAGAGUAUAGUAGGAAAAGAUGCAUAUAAGAAAUUUUAAAGUAGUCAUUCCAGUCGGUGCCAGCUCCGGGUCACUUUGGAUGCGAACUCAGUGGUCAGUCCCACAGUCCUGAGAGGACUCUCCACGAAAUGUUAGGAUCACUGGUGAGUGGAACACAACAUCUGUUCCAAACCAAUUGUGACGGACCUGUGACAUCAGCAGCAAGCACACGGGAGCCCUGACUGACCAGCAGCUCGGGUUCAUUCUGAUCAGUACUGGUAUACCUUGGUUUCCAAAACACCACACAGCCCCAUGGUCCUCAGAGGAGACACCACUUCCAGGUGGGUAGUAUAAUGUCACAGAAGGUAACUUGGAACACGGUGUUUUGUACUUGUACCCAGCAUGACAACUGUUUCUCCCUGGGUGGUGGCAUGCAA
rnacentral:lncRNA from 1 species